AUUGAACGCUGGCGGCAGGCCUAACACAUGCAAGCCGAACGGACCCUUCGGGGUUAGUGGCGGACGGGUGAGUAACACGUGGGAACGUGCCUUUAGGUUCGGAAUAGCUCCUGGAAACGGGUGGUAAUGCCGAAUGUGCCCUUCGGGGGAAAGAUUUAUCGCCUUUAGAGCGGCCCGCGUCUGAUUAGCUGGUUGGUGAGGUAAAGGCUCACCAAGGCGACGAUCAGUAGCUGGUCUGAGAGGAUGACCAGCCACAUUGGGACUGAGACACGGCCCAAACUCCUACGGGAGGCAGCAGUGGGGAAUCUUGCGCAAUGGGCGAAAGCCUGACGCAGCCAUGCCGCGUGAAUGAUGAAGGUCUUAGGAUUGUAAAAUUCUUUCACCGGGGACGAUAAUGACGGUACCCGGAGAAGAAGCCCCGGCUAACUUCGUGCCAGCCGCCGCGGUAACAC
rnacentral:rRNA from 1 species